AUGUCCCACCAGCAGCUCACGGGAGAGGAGGUGGGACACGGCAGGGGCGGGGGAACACAGCUGUGCCCCGGGGCUGGGUCCCUGCGCUAUAAAAGUGACUCCAGCAACCGUGUUGGGGAAGAGCAGCAGCCCCGACCUCUGCUCCUGCCUCCCGCAGCCUCCCACAGCUGCCAGGCCCUGAUGAUGAAGGUCCAGGUGCUGACAGUUCUGCCCCUGCUGCUGGCGCAGCUCUCCUUGGCCCCAGCACAGGCUGAGGCACGGGGAGGGAGCCUGCAGAGGCAGCCCAGAGGCUGGGGGCCCCCAGAAGCCCCCCACCCAGCUGGGUCUGGUGGGGACACCCUGCUCGGACAGGGCGCAGAGGGCAGCCACCCCCUGGCUGGAGCAUGGGAGGUGCUGGCUGAGCCCCCCCAAGCCCCCAGCGAGGCCAGGGGCAGCGGGCAGCAGGGCCCCCCCAGCCAGCUCCGCAGGCGCCCACCGCAGCCCUCCCGCAGCAGGAGCCUGGGGCUGAGCCAGCACCUGAAGGGCCACGGCAAGUUCAACGCCGACACGCACUCCUGCCAUGGCAUCCAGCGCCGGCCCUGCCAGAAGCCCUCGGACUGCAGCGGCUGCCUGGGGCUGUACACCUGCAAGCUGCCCGCGGGCACCUGUGGCCUGAAGGCCGUCUCCUGGCAGAGAGGUAGGAGGCAGCAUCCCCAUUGCACCCUGCACAGGCUCUGCGGAGCCCUGAGGCCGCAGCCAGCCCCGCUGCUCUCCGGGGUUUGUCUUCACAGGUGGGUUCCUGCGCAGCAUCCAGAGCGCCGGGUGGCACACGGGCACCCUGCUCCCUGAGCCACGCGGCUCCAAGUGAAGCUGGAGAGGCCGUCCUGCAGCUGAGACCGACGUUUCCUGCCCGUGUCUCCUUUUAAAUCCUUAAUUAUACAGCUGUAAAUGUUUCUGUCGCUGUGCUUUUCAUGCUGUUUGGUUUUUAACACCCCUGGAUGCCAUAUGCUGGGUAGGUGUGAGCCCCACUCUCCUUAGCGCUGCUAACAAAAUACCAAGUGGCUGCAGAGCAGCCCCCAAAAGGCACAAAUGUGGCUGUUUUACGACUCGAUUUAUUCUGGGCUGCUAGGAUAUUGCAGGUAAAGCUGCCGGUGUUUGAGCCCGGUCACACAAUAUUGAGUCCAAGCAGCCUGCUCGCAUCGGGAACCCUGGGAAGCCUCCCAGCUCCCUGCUGCAGCGCCCAGGGUGCAGGGCAAAGUCCCACGGUACUGAAACAUUGUGUGGGAAGGGGCACGCGGAGCUCCUGGGCCUGGUGAUGGGCCCACAUCUGCUUCGAGAGGCCUGAACUGAGCCAAAAGCUCAGCUUAACUUACUGCUGUGUGGGGCUUUAUGGGCACCCCAGCAGGCAUGGGUGCUCUUCAGCUUUGCAGAACCCCAUUUUGCUCUCAUUAAAAGAAAAAAACAUCUUUUAAAAAGAGAACAGGGACACAGCAGGUGACCAACCUCACACCACACCGCGGGUUCCCUUGCUGGCACUGCACAUGCUGCUGAUUUUCUCUGCUUGGUGCUGUGGCCUCCUCCACUGUGCAUCGGGCUCACGUGCUGCUCGCCCUCCACCUCCGCAGGCCGGUGGCUGCUGCAAAGCCACCUCCAGGGCCUCCACAGCCUGGCCUUAAAUCCCUUCGGCCUCUGCUCCUUGCACCGCCCCACCCUCACCCCGCACCUCUCCGUGUUGUACAUGUUGUGUGUGAUGCCACAGCUCCUGCCAUCUCUGCAGCCUUCCUGCCUCUCCUGCAUUUCACGGCUCUUCUGCGAGCACAACCAGCACCCGGCUCCUCUCAGUUCCUUU
rnacentral:lncRNA from 1 species